rnacentral:rRNA from 1 species
AAGUCGAGCGGCGAGCCGUAGCAAUACGGCCUAGAGCGGCGGACUGGUGAGUAACGCGUGGGUGACCUACCUAGAGGUUGGGGAUAGCCGUUAGAAAUAGCGGGUAAUACCGGAUAUGGUUAUUUUGCUUUGGCGAGAUAAAGAAAGGGGCUUUGGCCCCGCCUUUAGAUGGGCCCGCGUCCCAUUAGGUAGUUGGUGAGGUAAGGGCCCACCAAGCCUGAGAUGGGUAGCCGGCCUGAGAGGGUGAACGGCCACACUGGGACUGAGAUACGGCCCAGACUCCUACGGGAGGCAGCAGCUAAGAAUAUUCCGCAAUGGGCGAAAGCCUGACGGAGCGACGCCGCGUGGAUGAGGAAGGCCGAAAGGUUGUAAAAUCCUUUUGCCGUUGAAGAAUAAGGCGGGGAGGGAAUGCCCUGCUGAUGACGUUAGGCGGCGAAUAAGCCCCGGCUAAUUACGUGCCAGCAGCCGCGGUAACACGUAAGGGGCGAGCGUUGUUCGGAAUUAUUGGGCGUAAAGGGCGCGUAGGCGGCUGUGCAGGUCUGGCGUGAAAUGGCGGGGCUCAACCCCGUGAUGGCGCUGGAAACUGCGGAGCUUGAGUCAUGGAGGGGGAGUUGGAAUUCCGCGUGUAGGGGUGAAAUCUGUAGAUAUGCGGAAGAACACCGGUGGCGAAGGCGAACUUCUAGCCAAUGACUGACGCUGAGGCGCGAAAG